CCAGAACUCAGCUGUAAGUAGACUAUACAGUCAACAGCCCUCCUCCUCCUUACACCUAAGCCAGUGUCAUGUGACACUGCAGAUAUCCCUAUUAAGCGGACAGUGUGUCCCUGAAUGAUGGCAUAUCAAACCACUCUCUGACAGACUCAGGCACGAAGAGUCCUGGGACCACUGUGGGGACACCUUUUAACUCAGCGUAAAAUGCCAGAGUCCCCUCUGCAGGUCACUGGAAGCAGUAAAGGGAGAAAUUCACAAGAAAGAACAUUAAGUAAAAUGUUCCCUGUGCAAAAGUCAUGGCUAUGAUUAAUACCAGUCAACCUGGUGGAAGAUGUCUAGAAAACUGAACCAAGAGGCUCAACAGGAAUGGCUGAAAUUCCCUCCCAUUUUUUAAAGACACCAGCUCCUCAAUAUAGCACAGGGCCAGGGCUCAGGCUCUAAAACCAGCCACCUGGAUUCCCACCUCUGCCACUCUGUUAGUUGAAUAACCUUCCAGAAAAUCACUUAACUUCUCAAAAGCUCACUUUCAUCAUGUAAACUGGGGAAAGUAGCAUCAUAAUAAUCACUGGAGUGUGAAAGCCAGGAAGGCAGGCACUGGUUUGUCUUAGUCAUCGUGUACCACAGUACCUAGAGAGUGCCUGGUAAAAUGU